rnacentral:rRNA from 1 species
UACGUAGGGUGCAAGCGUUAAUCGGAAUUACUGGGCGUAAAGCGUGCGCAGGCGGUUUUGCAAGACAGAUGUGAAAUCCCCGGGCUUAACCUGGGAACUGCAUUUGUGACUGCGAGGCUUGAGUCCGGGAGAGGGGGGUGGAAUUCCCAGUGUAGCGGUGAAAUGCGUAGAUAUUGGGAGGAACACCGGUGGCGAAGGCGGCCCCCUGGACCGGUACUGACGCUGAGGCGCGAAAGCGUGGGUAGCAAACGGG